AGUGGCGAACGGGUGAGUAAUAUAUCGGAACGUAUCCAAUAAUGGGGGAUAACUAGCCGAAAGGUUAGCUAAUACCGCAUACGCCCUGAGGGGGAAAGCUGGGGAUCGUAAGACCUAGCGUUGAUGGAGCGGCCGAUAUCUGAUUAGCUAGUUGGUGGGGUAAGAGCCUACCAAGGCGACGAUCAGUAGCUGGUCUGAGAGGACGACCAGCCACACUGGAACUGAGACACGGUCCAGACUCCUGCGGGAGGCAGCAGUGGGGAAUUUUGGACAAUGGGGGCAACCCUGAUCCAGCCAUUCCGCGUGAGUGAAGAAGGCCUUCGGGUUGUAAAGCUCUUUCGCAAGGGAAGAAAACUUAUUCUCUAACAUAGGAUAAGGCUGACGGUACCUUGAUAAGAAGCACCGGCUAACUACGUGCCAGCAGCCGCGGUAAUACGUAGGGUGCGAGCGUUAAUCGGAAUUACUGGGCGUAAAGCGUGCGCAGGCGGUUUUGAAAGUCAGAUGUGAAAUCCCCGGGCUCAACCUGGGAACUGCGUUUGAAACUCCAAAGCUAGAGUAUGGGAGAGGGAGGUAGAAUUCCACGUGUAGCAGUGAAAUGCGUAGAGAUGUGGAGGAAUACCAAUGGCGAAGGCAGCCUCCUGGCUUAAUACUGACGCUCAUGCACGAAAGCGUGGGGAGCAAACAGGAUUAGAUACCCUGG
rnacentral:rRNA from 1 species